UGAGCUCUUUUUUAGAGCAAUUACAGAAGCCUAAGAUAGGCGGUUACACCAUAAUUAACUAACUCCCUAAUCAACUGCCACAUCAACACUUAACUAACUUGAUUAACAACUUUAUAACUAAUCUGAUACAACCCUCACUGAACAUAGACUUAGUAUUAAUUCAAAAGGAAGUUUGCUACAUAGUUUCUGAAAUAAAAGAGUAGUAACAGGUUUAGUAAGAAUAUCGGCAAGCUGAUCUUCAGCAAAUAUGUGACGAACAUCCAGUUCUUUCUUCAAGACCUUGUCACGAACAAAGUGAACAUCAAUUUCUAUGUGUUUUGUACGAGCGUGAAGAACUGGAUUAGACGCCAUGACAGUGGCACUGCGGUUGUCGCACCAGAUGACAGGGAGUUGAGGUGUAGUGUAGCCUAUUUCUUUAAGCAACGAACUUAUCCAGACCAAUUCCAUAGAAGUGUCUGCAAGCGAGCGAUACUCAGCCUCUGUGGAACUUCGAAAGACAAUACCUUGUUUCUUAGAACUCCAUGAUAAAAGAUUGGAGCCUAGAAAGAUGAAGUAACCUCAUGUGGAUUUGCGGUCAUCAAUCGACCCUGCCCAGUCAGCAUCAGAGUAAGCAGUAAAAUGGAGAAAUUGAGAGGAGGUGAACUUGAGAGAGUAAUGAAGAGAGCCUUUAAGAUAGCGUAAGAGGCGCUUGCAUGCUUUCCACUGAAGCUCGGUCGGAGCUUGCAAGAAUUGGCUCAGUUUAUUCACCGUAAAUUCAAGAUAUACACUGUUAUCAUGAGUGAAUUGAGAUAUACUGAGUAGGCUUUUAGUAAUAUGAGGGACAUAUAAGAUGUUAUUAAGAGCAAGAGUUUGUGUGGACUGAGAGCAAGGUAAAAUAGUGGAUCCAACAUGAGUGAUGGGGAGUUGAGAUCCAUUACCUACAGUGACGGAUUCAGAGCCAGUGUAAGGAGUUUGGAUUUGGAGAUUACUCAGGUCUGAUGUAACGUGAGCAGAGGCUCCAGAGUCCAGAUACCAAUCGGAUGAGGAAGCUGUAGUAGUGUUUGAGUUCAUAGUGUAUGCAGUAGGUGUGGAGUGAGUAGGCAUAGAUCUAGCCACCUGCGAGGAAGAAGUUUGCUGCAAAUACUGAUUAGAUGAAGAAUCAACAUGAGCAGUGUUAGCCUGAGGGUGAGAUGUUUGAGUUGAGUUUGGCUCCGGUCCAGUAAAGCUCACAUCGAACCGUUUGUAGCACUUGAGUGCUACAUGAUUGGAUUUGCCACAAAGUUGGCAGAUCGGCUUGUUGUUUGAAGAGUACCUAUCUCCUCCUCUGCCGCGGUUGCUAGAUCCUCUACCAGAUCUACCUCAUCUUCCUCCAAAAUUUUGAUAAGUAACAUUAGCUUGAGGAGCAAUAGAUUGAGAAAUGGUGUUAGUCAUCACAGAAGCCUGAUUCUGCAGGCGUAGUUCAUGAGUUUGCAAUGCAAAUUGCACUUCAUGUAAAGACAUCUCAUCAGAUCUAGAGGAUAGUAAGACACUUAUACUUUCGAAUUCUGCACCUAAGCCUUCAAGAAUAUAGGAAAUGAGAUCAGAUUCUGAGAUCGGUUGUCACAGCCCAAAACCAUUUAUUUCCUUUGCAAAUUUUAUUUGAAAAUUAUUAAAGUUUCGAGUUAUUAAUAUAUAUAUCUAUGAGUCGAAUUUAUGAAAUUGUCUAAUCGCGCCCCUAGUUAGGAAUAAAACUUUGAAUUAUAGAUUAUGUCUAUAAUUAUUAAAAUUUAUAUUCUAAAUUCUAAUUUAAAUUUGGGCCUAAUAAUCUAUUAUGUUAGGCUUUAUUAACAUUGGGCCUUUUUAUAUUUUGGAUUAGAACUUUACAAUUUUUUUUUGAUAAGCCCAAUGCAUAUUAUCGGCCCAACAUUAACGUAGUGUAGAUAAUUAGCAUUUCACUCUUAUUUUUUUUGGUAAAAUUGGUUUUAACGUGUUGCUCAAUUACAUCAGCCAGCAAUCUUAUUCACCACAUUUUUCAGCCACGUAUCACUCCAAUUCUUAUCUCAUUUAAAUUACCUCAUCUCAUCUCUGAAAUUCCUGUGAAACUUCAAAUUUGCUCAAAUCUCUUCAGUCUCCUACUAUAGAACUUCAGAUGGUAAAUUUAUUUUCUGUGAUUUUAAAUCAUCGAAGCAAUUCUAGUUUCUCCUCUUUUAUAUUGAACAAAAACAUAACAGGCCUUUCUAAAUAAUUUUGUUCUUGAAUCAAAUUCAGCAUACACAUGCUUCAAAUCAAACAAUUUUCCUAAAUCAUUCACCUAAUUCAUGAGAAAAACAAAUAGAAUAAAAUUCUACUACUUUUCCAGAAAGGAAAUUAGAAAACUUGGAAUAGAAAAUAGAAGAAGUUGAAGAGGAUUUGGGGCAUAGGGUUUAGAAGGGGAAGAGAGGGCGUCUGGUGGCUGCUUCGGUGCUGCUGUCCCAGCGGCGCUACAGCUGCGCUGUUGACGGCGGAGUAGAGGCGGCAGCGGCUGGCUGCUCGCCGGAGCAGGGGGCCGGCGUCAGAUGGCUGUCUGGCCGCGACGGAGAGAGAGGUUGGGGGAGAGAGGAAGGCUGGGAAGAAAGGGGUCAGGGAGAGGGAAAGGGAGGCUGGGAAGGAGAGGGAGACGCCGGGCAGCGCCGCCGUCGGACGGCGGCGGCGGAAGACGAGGGAGGGAGAGAGGGUGCGCUGGUGUGUGUUUGAGGUGUGAGUGUGUGUUUGGGGGCUGGUGUGUCAUGUGUGUGCAGAAUGUGAGAGGGAGAGAAUGAGAUGUAGUAUUUUUUUUUUUUUUUUUUUUUUUUUUGUGAGGAGAAAAUGAGAUGUAGAUUUAAGAAACAAAGAAUGGGUUUUGAGCAAAUUCUUGGGCUGAGACUAUUAAAAAGUUGGGCUAGGCUUUUAUUUUGAUUAAUGGGAUAGUUUGAGCCAAAAUUUGACUUUAUUUAUAUUUAGUAAUUUGGGCCUCAGAUUUUUAUUAUACAUUGAACCCAAUAUUUAUAAUAAAGGAUAUCUUAUAAAAGGAUUUUAAUGAUCUUUUAAAAUAAAUUCUUAAUGUUUAUAUUAUUUCUAAAUUUUAAUUAGUCCCUUAUAUUGAUUAUUUGAAUGUAUUUGACUAGGUGCGGCGCGACUAGGACAUGGAUUUUAAUUUGAAUUAUCAGAAUUAUCUUUCAAAGCUCAAGUUUCAGGUGUGGGAUUUAUUUCAGUACAUGUUGUGGUUAAUCUUUGUCCAUUUUAAUAUUAUGUGUUUACCAUAUGUGAGUUACAUUAAAUUAUAUUGCCAGGGGCCCGUUAAAUGGGUCCAGAAUGGUAAAGAUCCUUGGUAUGCCACAAUGCGAUAUACAUGUUAAAGUUAUGGUGCAACCAGUCGUCAGGGGCCUGCUGAAUCGGUCCAGGACGGAAAGGUCCUUGGUAUGCCGCCGUGCGACUUUCAGUUACGAAUGUUUGAUCAUAUGUGUUUCCAUUUUAUUAACGUGGACAAUGAUUGCAUGUUCCCACACUGAGUGUACCAUGUAUGCUCAUCCCAUUACCAUACUUAACAUUUUCAGGUUUUAAAGGCCGAAGGCGCGUGGAAGGUCGAAUGGCGAAUCAAAUAUUUUAAAUUUAGUUUUACUUAAAAAUGUUAUGUUUAGUAAAGUAUUUUAAAAUAAGAUAUUUAUUUCUUUAUUUUCACAUUAAAUAUUUAUUUAUAGUCAUGAUUUUUCGCGUGCGUUUUCAUUAAAUUUAAAUUGAAUUUGGGUGUCACAUCGGUUUACCGAUGUUGAAGAGUUGAUCGGAGAGUUCUCUGAAUUUUUGAGAAUAUAUUCAUCAAUGGAUGAAUCGCCUUUCUUCAUGAGUUGCAGUUGAGUACGCAAUUGCAUAGCUCUCGCCUUGGAUUGAGAAUGGAAAAGUGUCUCAAACGUGCUCCAGAUCUGAGCCGCAGUAAUGCAGCGACCAAUGUACCCCAUCAUUUGGGGAGAAAUGGAGGAAAGUAACCAGCUAAACAUGAACUGGUCACGACGCAGCCAAUUGAGAUACUCCGGAUUUGACUCGGAUGCUGUUGUUGCUGAUUCUAAUUCCAGAAAUUGUGGAGGAGAUUUAUGGUGAAUAAGUAUAUCUUCAAAUCCAUAAGCACGAGUUGUAGCUAUUACUUGAAUUUUCCAAAAACUGUAAUUGGAUCUGUCCAAUUUGAGUGUAAAGGGUGCAUAGCAGGUAGUGUGGAUGAAGUUUGGGUAGUUUGAUUCAUGGUGUGGAAUGGAGAUUAAAGAGAAGAAGAAGAUGUGAAUUUAGCGGAAGCAAAAAAUUAGUUUUGGAUCGGAAAAAAUGAGCUCGAUACCAUGUUGAAUGUAAACUAGAAUAUGAAAAUGAUAAGAAAAGCUUAAUCUCCAUUCCAUAAACUGAGCUCUUUUAUAGAGCAAUUCAGAAGCCUAAGAUAGGCGGUUACACCAUAAUUAACUAACUCCCUAAUCAGCUGCCACAUCAACACUUAACUAACUUGAUUAACAACCUUAUAACUAAUCUAAUAAACUCAGGGCAUGGGGACUCCAUCUCUUUAUUGGUUUACUUAAAGCUGGUGCGUAGGAUUAAUUCAAGGCAUAGGGAAGGGUUGAACGAGGAGCGAGACC
rnacentral:lncRNA from 1 species